UCCAGUUCUUACUUUCCACAAGGCACGUGAU
rnacentral:piRNA from 1 species